UACAGGGGGUGCUAGCGUUGUUCGGAAUUACUGGGCGUAAAGGGCGCGUAGGCGGCUUAACAAGUCAGGUGUGAAAUCUCGGGGCUUAACUCCGAAAGUGCAUUUGAAACUGUUAGGCUAGAGUGCAGUAGAGGUUGGUGGAAUUCCCAGUGUAGAGGUGAAAUUCGUAGAUAUUGGGAGGAACACCGGUGGCGAAGGCGGCCUUCUGGACAGUGACUGACGCUGAGACGCGAAAGCGUGGGGAGCAAACAGG
rnacentral:rRNA from 1 species